UACGAAGGGGGCUAGCGUUGUUCGGAAUUACUGGGCGUAAAGCGCACGUAGGCGGACUAUUAAGUCAGGGGUGAAAUCCCGGGGCUCAACCCCGGAACUGCAUUUGAUACUGGUAGUCUCGAGUCCGGAAGAGGUGAGUGGAAUUCCGAGUGUAGAGGUGAAAUUCGUAGAUAUUCGGAGGAACACCAGUGGCGAAGGCGGCUCACUGGUCCGGUACUGACGCUGAGGUGCGAAAGCGUGGGGAGCAAACAGG
rnacentral:rRNA from 1 species